GCGCCGGUGGUGUACGGUACACGCGCCUCGUCUCUUCAUCAGAUGGAGGUAGAAUGAGGAGGCGAGCCCGGGGUUCGACUCCCCGCCGGCGCA